rnacentral:lncRNA from 13 species
ACAAAGUAAGAAUCAUCAAAACCACAACCUCAAUAAGUUCAAUAUUAACAACAUUAAUUUGCAGUGAUGGAUGAUGUUUUGAGCAAAGUGUAAUCUUCCCAUGUGACCAGGGGCAGAGGAGAACCAAACAUUGGAAAUCAGUGUUGGAGAGUCAUAACUUCCAGCUCCUCCACUAGGAGGAUCCAAUGGAGAAAGUGAAAAGUAUAGCCAUCGGGCUGGACUGCAGAGCUGGUUGUCAAGGGUCAUCUACAAGGUCAGAGGUAAGCUGACGUGCAAUGGCAGAAUGGCAUUCACGGUACUACGUAGUUCUCCCUUUUCCCUGAAUUACCGUGGUGCAAUGCAGAGAGUGUGAAGACAUCCAGACUAAAGUGCUAUUCUAAGACCUUUCCACC